UACCAGCACCCCGAGUGGUCGGGACGUUUAUUGGGCCUAAAGCAUCCGUAGCCGGUUCUACAAGUCUUCCGUUAAAUCCACCUGCUUAACAGAUGGGCUGCGGAAGAUACUAUAGAGCUAGGAGGCGGGAGAGGCAAGCGGUACUCGAUGGGUAGGGGUAAAAUCCGUUGAUCCAUUGAAGACCACCAGUGGCGAAGGCGGCUUGCCAGAACGCGCUCGACGGUGAGGGAUGAAAGCUGGGGGAGCAAACCGGAUUAGAUACCCCUAGUAGUCC
rnacentral:rRNA from 1 species